rnacentral:rRNA from 1 species
UACGGGGGGAGCAAGCGUUGUUCGGAUUUACUGGGCGUAAAGGGCGCGUAGGCGGUCAGCACAAGUCAGUUGUGAAAUCUCCGGGCUUAACUCGGAAAGGUCAACUGAUACUGUGCGACUAGAGUGCGGAAGGGGCAACUGGAAUUCUCGGUGUAGCGGUGAAAUGCGCAGAUAUCAGGAGGAACACCGAUAGCGAAGGCAGCUCGCUGGGACGGUACUGACGCUGAGGCGCGAAAGCGUGGGGAGCGAACAGG